GAUGAACGCUGGCGGCGUGCCCAAUACAUGCAAGUCGAGCGAACGGACGAGAAGCUUGCUUCUCUGAUGUUAGCGGCGGACGGGUGAGUAACACGUGGAUAACCUACCUAUAAGACUGGGAUAACUUCGGGAAACCGGAGCUAAUACCGGAUGAUAUUUUGAACCGCAUGGUUCAAAAGUAAAAGACGUCUUGCCGUUCACUUAUAGUUGAACCCCGGCUGCAUUACUUAGUUGUUAAGGUAACGGCUUACCAAGGCAACGAUCCAUAGCCGACCUGAGAGGGUGAUCGGCCACACUGGAACUGAGACACGGUCCAGACUCCUACGGGAGGCAGCAGUAGGGAAUCUUCCGCAAUGGGCGAAAGCCUGACGGAGCAAUGCCGCGUGAGUGAUGAAGGUCUUCGGAUCGUAAAACUCUGUUAUUAGGGAAGAACAUAUGUGUAAGUAACUGUGCACAUCUUGACGGUACCUAAUCAGAAAGCCACGGCUAACUACGUG
rnacentral:rRNA from 1 species